ACCCCCUCAGGAUCGCACCUGGAGAAUUUCUAGUACUCUACCAGUCUUGGCUAUUGGAGCGAGAGUCAAGCAGAGGCAUACCUAUUCCAUUCCUAGCUUGGGCAGAGGCUAGCAAGUGGAAGGCAAUCUGCUGCAAGU